GAUGAACGCUGGCGGCGUGCCUAAUACAUGCAAGUCGAGCGAACGGACGAGAAGCUUGCUUCUCUGAUGUUAGCGGCGGACGGGUGAGUAACACGUGGAUAACCUACCUAUAAGACUGGGAUAAAUUCGGGAAACCGGAGCUAAUACCGGAUGAUAUUUUGAACCGCAUGGUUCAAAAGUGAAAGACGGUCUUGCUGUAACUUAUGGAUGGAUCCGCGCUGCAUUAGCUAGUUGGUAAGGUAACGGCUUACCAAGGCAACGAUGCAUAGCCGACCUGAGAGGGUGAUCGGCCACACUGGAACUGAUACACGGUCCAGACUCCUACGGGAGGCAGCAGUAGGGAAUCUUCCGCAAUGGGCGAAAGCCUGACGGAGCAACGCCGCGUUAGUGAUGAAGGUCUUCGGAUCGUAAAACUCUGUUAUUAGGGAAGAACAUAUGUGUAAGUAACUGUGCACAUCUUGACGGUACCUAAUCAGAAAGCCACGGCUAACUACGUG
rnacentral:rRNA from 1 species